UAUAGAAUUUAUUCUAUUUUUCCCUCGUGUUUAUUUUCGUUCUCUCCCUCUCGCUCGUUGUUUUCAUUCUUUCUUCUUCAUCUUCCUAAACCCUAAUCAGGCACUCAACGAAAAGAAGCAUCGUAACCGACGAAGUCGCCUCACCGUCGUAGCUCACCGCCAUAGCUCGCUGCCUCUGGUUUCUAGGGCGCUGGCACAUCGUUUAUUCGCUUCAUUAUCCGCGGAUUUCAUAAUUCAGAUGUUCAACAUGGAUUGUGGUGUUUUCUGAAAUAGAAUUGGAGAAAUCUGUUGGAUUUGUGAUGUUCAACAUGUUUACUCAGUACAUUUUCAAUUUGUUGCCUUCAAGUUUCGUAGGACGUCAAAGAUGGGGUUUGAGCCAAGCUUCUUCGGUGCCUUAUUAAUGUACAUUUGCUCACUUAUUUUAAUCUCUACACAGCUUAUGUAUUCUUUCACCCAAAAAUGCCAAUGAGUGAUUGGUGGAGCUCAAAAAUUGAUAUUCCCGGUUAUUAUACUCUAAUUUGGCUACUAUUCUUUUAAGUUUCGUUAAUUUUCUAUAGAAUUCUGGAUAUACUUUAAAAUGUAAUAUUAAAAAAGUAUCACAUUAUCUAAUGGCUCUAUUUUGUUUCCUGUUUAGAAUUUUCCUUUGUUAUGUCUUCGUAUAUGCUUAUUGCAUCCCAGUAGUAUGUCCUUCAUUCAAUUCACCAAAUUACAAUACAUUCCAUAGUUUUGAGAACCAAAUAAUACUUCAUAUUAAAAAUUCUUAUAAAUACUCUGUUUCAAAUAGAAUUUUACUGUUAGUAAGUCAAGAUAUUUUCAUUGAUGAAUUUUACAUGUUGAUUUGGUCACCAUGUUGGAGAAAGUGAUUAGUUAUGUGAAGGUUCUUCAGUUGCAAGUAACCCAAAUAUCCCGUUUUUCAUUGGGUCUUGGCUAACCACUCAUCAGAGGUUCUUGAUUUUAACAAGUCAUCUACAUUUCAAGAUCUCUCAAAGCCUGUUGGAGCACUUGAUACAAAACGAUUUGAGGCUAGGGAUCCAAAUGCAGAUUUAGCACAUUUCUUUGAUGUGAUAGGAGGGAGUGGCACUGGUGCACUCAUAACAGCUUUGUUAGCCACACCAAGCCCUCAAGAUCCUACUCGUGCUACCUUUACUCCUACACAAAUUGUUGACUUCUACAAACAAAAUGGCCCGCAUGUAUUCAAUUCAUCUAGACAUGGAAAAGAUACGCAAUUCGACGGGGAGAUUUUACACAACAUAACUCGUGAACUGUUGAAGGACAAUUCGACAUCAAGAGACAAAAGCUAGUUAUAUUCUCAAACUACAAGGUUGAGAAGUAUCCCUACUUCAAUGCCUUGAUGUCUGAUAUAAGCAUAUCGGCUUCAGCAACACCCACUCUUCUUCCACCCUACUAUUUUCAGAAUGAUGGUGUUGACUUCAAUUUGAUUAGUGGUGCGGACUUGAGUAUGCUUAGUAAUGAUCUAGUAAAUGGGAAUCCGUUGUACCAUGAAUGUUCUCUUUUGAAGCUAUCAGCUAUUGCCGUGAGUUUGUUAGGAAUGACAAUGGUUUUUUCAGAAAGCUUAUCAC